CAUAUCAUUUCCGGUUGUUGGUGUGCCGUGAGAUUUUUUCUGUGUCUUAAGUGUGCCUUGACGCAAAAAAGGUUGAAAAACACUGAGCUAGAGGGCUGAUUAGCAACAGCAGAUACUUUUAUAGAAAUGCAAUAUAUGUCUCUCUGUAAUUCUUAAAAAAGCAAAGUCAUCCGGCGGCCCGCAUUGGACCCCCCCACGCUCUACAUGUUUAUGUCUUCAUGUGGAAUCUCUCUUCCUAUCAGCCAAUUCAUCCUCUCACAUUUAUUAAAUUAAUUCCAAUUUAAGUUCUCUGAUAUUUUAGAGACAAAAUUACGUUUUCCGGUAGUUUAACACAUGAAUGUGAGUUUUACCAAAUAUUUAAGUUUUUUAUGUAACUAAAUAUGAGUAAAGUAGAUAUUUAAGACUAAAUGCACAUAAAUAUGUGUGUGAUUGUCGUUGCAGGCGGGUGGAGGCUCGUCUCUGUGUCCGUUGGAUUAGCAGCACUCAUAAUAAUACUUGUAGUCGUCAACAUGUGGAUUAGAAUUAAAGAGAGGAAAACACAGACGGAAGAAAACGCUGUGCGUUAUGAUGCAGAAGAUGACACAGUGAACUAUGAAAACAUGAGACCUGCUGCUGGAGUUUGAGCAACACGUCUGCAGAUCAGCUCCACCACCAUCUUCAUGGUGUCCCAGCUGCUGAUGUGGAGCCAGAUGUUGUCUUCAUUGGGCUGCUGAGGUCCAAUAUUGAUCAAUCGUUCUCUGUCAUGUGAGCGAGCGACUUGCAGCUGGUGGUUCGUUCUCUCUGGGAACAAAUGACUUCAUUAGUAAAACAUAUUUACACAGACGGGAAUCAGCUGAAACUAAAGUCUGAAUAUGAUCCACAGGAGUGAUGAAGCAUUGUUUGUUUUUUUGUUUGUUUUUAUGA